rnacentral:rRNA from 1 species
AACAAACGCUGGCGGCGUGCCUAAUACAUGCAAGUCGAACGGGGAAAGCUUUCGGGUGAGUACUAGUGGCGCACGGGUGAGGAACGCGUGGAUAAUCUGCCUUAGAGUGGGGGAUAACUAGUCGAAAGAUUAGCUAAUACCGCAUAAGACCACGCGAGCUGCGGCUUUUGAGGUCAAAGGUUUUUCGCUCUAAGAUGAGUCCGCGUAAGAUUAGCUAGUUGGUGAGGUAACGGCUCACCAAGGCGACGAUCUUUAACUGGUCUGAGAGGAUGAUCAGUCACACGGGAACUGAGACACGGUCCAGACUCCUACGGGAGGCAGCAGUAGGGAAUAUUGCACAAUGGAGGAAACUCUGAUGCAGCGACGCCGCGUGAGUGAUGAAGGCCUUCGGGGCGUAAAGCUCUGUCGCAGGGGAAUAACACAAUGAAGGUACCCUGUAAGAAAGGAUCGGCUAACUUCGUG